AUUGAACGCUGGCGGCAUGCCUUACACAUGCAAGUCGAGCGGCAGCGCGGGGGCAACCCUGGCGGCGAGCGGCGUACGGGUGAGUAAUGCAUCGGAACGUGUCCUCUUGUGGGGGAUAACCAGUCGAAAGACUGGCUGAUACCGCAUGAGAUCGCAAGAUGAAAGCAGGGGACCCGCAAGGGCCUUGCGCGAGAGGAGCGGCCGAUGCCCGAUAGCUAGUUGGCGGGGGUAAAAG
rnacentral:rRNA from 1 species